rnacentral:lncRNA from 14 species
UGAACUUCUGUGGAAAAGGAGCAGGAAUUUGUUGAAGAGUCUGUCAGGAUCUUCUGAACAGCUUGCUUAACAGGUGGUUUGGUUGAAUGCUUGGAUUAAAAUGGACAGAUCUAAAAUUCACUACCAAUAACUUGCAUUGUUUGCAGGAAUAUUCUGCAGAGAUGGAAACCCUGUUCCUGAUGGAGAAGAUCUGUAGCACCUGAUGCAUGUUUUCCUUGAUCACCCGCCUGGCCUGAAGCAGAUCAAGUUCUCACACGGUGUGUGCUGCUGGACAGGUCUCAAACGUGUGAUGGAUGCCCGUACGGUAACGAUUCUCUCUCUUCAAAAACAGAGGAUUCUUGUCAGCAGGAAGCCUGAAGGACGUCUUCUAGAACUGGUCUGCUAUCGAGGUGUAAAAUGAAUAUGCAGAAGGCAGUACUGAAACAGAAAACCCAAAUGACUUCUUUGCUUCUGCAUUGAUUGUGGAGGAGGCUGCGUAAGUUCCUGGACAGACACUCACAAACUCACCUGAGGAUUGUCUUGAAGCAUCAGUAAGGGUCACAAUAAAUCGACAAAGCAACUAAGGAACUCCCA